AUUGAACGCUGGCGGCAUGCCUUACACAUGCAAGUCGAACGGUAACAGGUCUUCGGAUGCUGACGAGUGGCGAACGGGUGGGUAAUACAUCGGAACGUGCCUAGUAGUGGGGGAUAACUACUCGAAAGAGUGGCUAAUACCGCAUGAGAUCUACGGAUGAAAGCAGGGGAUCGCAAGACCUUGUGCUACUAGAGCGGCCGAUGGCAGAUUAGGUAGUUGGUGGGAUAAAAGCUUACCAAGCCGACGAUCUGUAGCUGGUCUGAGAGGACGAUCAGCCACACUGGGACUGAGUCACGGCCCAGACUCCUACGGGAGGCAGCAGUGGGGAAUUUUGGACAAUGGGCGCAAGCCUGAUCCAGCAAUGCCGCGUGCAGGAUGAAGGCCUUCGGGUUGUAAACUGCUUUUGUACGGAACGAAAAGCCCUGGGUUAAUACCCUGGGGUCAUGACGGUACCGUAAGAAUAAGCACCGGCUAACUACGUGCCAGCCGCCGCAGUAA
rnacentral:rRNA from 1 species